AUUUUCGGCAUUUACAUAUUUUCGAGAUUUACUGCAUUGAAACCAAGCGUUCGAUUGCUUGACGUCACUUCGUGAUCGACAUCGAUGAAACGCUUGCUUACGCUGUAGAUGUUAUUUUCUGUGCAAAUACAAGCGUCUAUUGAUAACGAAACGAUAAUUUGUCAACAAUGAGAAUCAGAUACUUGGCUUAAUAAUUUUCAUUUAAAAUGUCUAAUUUGGAUAUAAUUCGGAAUACAAAACGAAACUUAAAAGGUAUUGAAAACAACAACGUUCAAAAGAACAAUGUGGAUUUCAAUAGAAAGACUAUUUCCACCGACAAUCAGGAUUUCCGCGAUGCUAGUUGGAUAUAAAAUUGGUAGACGUGUCGUUGAACUCGACACAUUGACCGAAUCGCUUUUAGCAUGCAGUGCUUGUCAAGUGCCCAUGAAUUUACUUAAAACUGUAGAAAGCAGGGAUUUCGGACAGGCAUGUGUUUUGGACAUACAGUUUUGCAAUUGUGGUGCAGUAAAUAAUGUGGCUACUGGACGGAAACAUGGCAGAGUUUAUGACAUGAUCACAAAGCUUGCAUUUGGGUAAAUCAAAAACUGGGUGUUUCACCUGGGACUUUCACAUCGAAACUGGCCCUUCUCCAUGACCUUCAGCACAAAAAAAGAAAGGCUAUAUCUGUUACUCGUGCAGCAAAACAGUGACGCAUAAGACUUAAAACUCGAACGGCAUUCAAAGCACAGUGCAAGAAGUACGAGCGGGACCAACAUACAGUUCAAACAUAGUGGACCAAGACGUUGAAGUUACAACUAUACCCCCACCUAUACCCAAGCCUGGUCCAGCAGGGCUAGACACUACUGGGAAGGAAUUUGUUUUCUUUGAUUUGGAAACAAGAGGGUUAGAGCACACUUCUCACAUAAUUCAGAUAGCUGCAGUGCAUUCAACUGGUCAAUUUUCAACAUAUGUGAUGCAUGAGAAGAAGAUUUCCUUGCAAGCGUCAGAAAUAACUGGAGUGACAGUUGUUAGCGACUCUAUGCUUGUCAAGAGACAAACAGUAACAGCUGUCCCCAUCAAAUCUGCAUUGACAAGUUUUAUAACAUUCUUACAGAAAUGUUCACCAAUUAUUUGAGUUGGGUAUAAUAUAGAGUCUUUUGAUUGUAAAGUGUUGCUCCGUGCUAUCCAUACUUGUUGAAAAAUGUUUGAGUUUCAGCAUAAUAUUUGUGGCUUUGUAGAUACUUAAAAAUGUUAAAGGAAAUAUUACCAAAUAUGAAAUCAUAUCAGCGGGAACAUUUAGUUAAAGACGUCAUUGGUGAAUUAUACAUGGCACAUGGCGCUAUACAGGAUAUUUUAGCUUUACAAAAGUUAGUGAACUCUGUUCCUCUUGACCAAAAAUUGUUAACAAAUAUUCAUUCAGCUUUUACCGAGCAGUGUUAACAUACAAUGUGUAACUAAAUGUUGCUUCCAACAUCAAAUCUUUACAAACCAUAAUUGAUACAAAAGUUAUAAGUCAAGGUGUUGCAAGGAAAGUUGCAGGAAGUGUAUUUCAACUUAAACAUUUGAGUCCUGUAUCAAAAAGAAACGGACUGAGUGGUUUGAGGAGCCCCCUUUCAGAGGUUACAAACGGACAAAUCAGAGUAACAAAAUCAGAGAAAAUAAUAUGUACAAUAGCGAGUUAUUUGUUGCCUGACAUCUAACCAAUUGUAAUUUGCAUCUUGUAUAUAGAUAAGCUAUGAAAUCUAAUAGCUGUUACAUAAUUGUUUUUCCUUCUCGAUGACGAACAUAGUUGUGAUUCUUAUGUCAGUUGUAUUUCUCAUGUUUCACCUAAGUUGUAAGAUAUUUUUGGCAGUGCAUUAAACCACAGAUAGUGUGUGAAACAUAAUUGCCCAGCUUAUUGUAUUCUUUGUUGUUUUAAGCUUCACUGGCCAAAGGCCAGCGGGGCUUAUGUUAUGAUUCUGUGUCCGUCGUGCGUGCGUGCCUGAACGUUUCCUUUAAACAUCUUCUUCUCCUAAACAACUGGUCCAAUUGUGAUGAAAUUUCUCAGGAAUGUUCCUCUUUCAACGUUUUUCAAAUUAUGCCCCUGGGGUCAAAUUUGACCCUGACCCAGGGUCACAAAAUUGAACAUAUGCUUAUAUAGGGUCUAUUUUGUGAAAACUUCACAUAUUUUUUCGUCCAUAACCAUUGGGCCUUGGGCUUCCAAAUUUGGUAUGUAGUGGCAUCUUAUAGUCCUCUACCAAGUUUGUUCAAAUUAUGCCCCUAGGGUCAAGUUUGACCCUGGCCUGAGGGUCACAAAAUUGAACAUAUGCUUAUAUUAGGCAUUUUUUGUGAAAACUUAAAAAAUCUUCUUGUUCAUAUUAGUAUGGCAUAGGGCUACCAAAUUUGGUAUGUAGUGACAUGUAAUAGUUCUCUACCAAGUUUGUUCAAAGUAUGCCCCUUGGGUUAAAUUUGAAACUGCCCCGGGGGUUACAAAACUGAACAUAUGCUUAUAAAGUGCUUAAUUUGUGAAAACUUUAAAAAAAAAUUGUCCAUAUCUAUUGGGCCUAGGGCUACCAAAUUUGGUUUGUAGUGACAUCUUAUAAACCUCUACCAAAUUUGUUCAAAUAAUGCCUCUGGGGUCAACUUUGACCCUGCCGCGGGGGGUCACAAAAUUUAAUAAACGCUUAUUAAGCGCCUAUUUUGUGAAAUCUUAAAAAAUCUUGUCGAAAACCAUUCUGACUAUGGCUACCAAAUUUGGUAUGCAGGAACAUCUUAUAGUCAUCUACCAAGUUUGUUACUUUGGGUCAAAUUUGACCCUGACCCGCGGGUCACAAAAUUGAACAUUAUAUACGCUUGUAUCUUGCUUAUUUUGUGAAAACUUUAAAAAUAUUCUUGUCCUUAACUCUACAUCUAAGACUUAGGGCCACCACAUUUUGUAUGGAGUGAGAUAUAGUAGUCCUCUACAAAGUUUGCUCAAAUUAUGCCCCUGGGGUUAAAUUUGACCCAGCCCAGGUGGUCACAAAAUUGUACAUGUGCUUAAAUAGGGCCUAUAUUUAAGUAUCUGCACAUGCGGAGAAUAUUUGUUUCAGUCUUUUUUCAGCAGUGGAGCGAUACAGGGCCAUCAUGGCCUCUUGUCUUUAAAUACACAUCACACAGUUCUAAAAAUAAUUUUAAAAUACCUAAUACAUAUGUUCAAUUUACAACCAACAACAUGGGUAACAGGUGGGUGGGGUAAUUUUAGAUGUUUAUUUGAACAUCAGCAUUGUUUUUACAGUUGUUACAUCUGAAAUAUUUUCAUAACAAUAUACAUUAUAAAUAUUUCUACGUGGAUCACAUUUCAGUUGAUAAUUUGAUUGUUAUGGAGCAGUUAUUAUAUAGAUAUGUUUUAAUUACUAUUACAAUGUUAGUCAUUGUAUUUUUGAAAUUAAGUCCAUAUUAAAAUGUCUAUAGCAAAAAAAAAUCCACGGUGACCUAUCAAUGUCUUUACUUCAUUUUAAUGCUUAGCUAGUUUCCUUUAAUUAUUGAGAACUUCAAAUGAAUAUGAAUAUUACAUCAACAGAAAUAUGUAUCUGUAUUGCAUGUUA